ACGGCCAUAGAAGCGAGAAACCGCCCCAUCCCGUCUGCCCUGGGAAGCUUUAAGCUUGCUAUCGCCCUGUUAGUACCAUCGUGGGGGACCAGAUGGGAAUCCCGGGUGCUGUAGUUU
rnacentral:rRNA from 1 species